rnacentral:snRNA from 1 species
GUGCUUGCUUUGGCAGCACAUUUACUAAAACGGGAACGAUACGAUACACAGCUGAUUAGCAUGGCCCCUGCACAAGGAAGACAUGCAAAUUCAUGAACCAUUCCAUAAAAAA